UACGUAGGGUGCGAGCGUUGUCCGGAAUUACUGGGCGUAAAGGGCUCGUAGGCGGCCAACUAAGUCAGACGUGAAAUCCCUCAGCUUAACUGGGGAACUGCGUCUGAUACUGGAUGGCUUGGAUUCGGGAGAGGAAUGCGGAAUUCCAGGUGUAGCGGUGAAAUGCGUAGAUAUCUGGAGGAACACCGGUGGCGAAGGCGGCAUUCUGGACCGACAUUGACGCUGAGGAGCGAAAGCCAGGGGAGCAAACGGG
rnacentral:rRNA from 1 species